rnacentral:rRNA from 1 species
CCUACGGUGAGCAGCAGUGGGGAAUAUUGGACAAUGGGCGAAAGCCUGAUCCAGCCAUGCCGCGUGUGUGAAGAAGGCCUUCGGGUUGUAAAGCACUUUCAGUGGGGAAGAAAGCCUUGGGGCUAAUACCCUCGAGGAAGGACAUCACCCACAGAAGAAGCACCGGCUAACUCCGUGCCAGCAGCCGCGGUAAUACGGAGGGUGCGAGCGUUAAUCGGAAUUACUGGGCGUAAAGCGCGCGUAGGCGGUCUGAUAAGCCGGUUGUGAAAGCCCCGGGCUCAACCUGGGAACGGCAUCCGGAACUGUCAGGCUAGAGUGCAGGAGAGGAAGGUAGAAUUCCCGGUGUAGCGGUGAAAUGCGUAGAGAUCGGGAGGAAUACCAGUGGCGAAGGCGGCCUUCUGGACUGACACUGACGCUGAGGUGCGAAAGCGUGGGUAGCAAACAGGAUUAGAUACCCUAGUAGUC